GAUUGUAAGCUGCAACUCGCCUACAUGAAGUCGGAAUUGCUAGUAAUGGCAGGUCAGCAUACUGCCGUGAAUACGUUCCCGGGCCUUGUACACACCGCCCGUCACACCAUGAGAGUUGGGAAUACCCGAAGCCUGUGAGCUAACGAAAGAGGCAGCAGUCGAAGGUAGAAUCAAUGAUUGGGGUGAAGUCGUAACAAGGUACC
rnacentral:rRNA from 1 species